GAACCUUAUAAGUGAAAUGUUUGAACUUUUAAGUUCACAUAGUUAUCACGUUUUUAGGUUAUGGUAACCAAUGCAAAUUUCUUGAUCACAGGAUAGCUUAAGUCUUUAAGAUACCAUAUUAGUUAUCUACAUAGUCGCGUAGGUAGACUCUCUCCUGUUUUAAUGAUUUUAGGGCAUUUUUCCCUUCUGCAUAAAAGCUGGAAAAGUUUUUAGUUGUAUGAUGGUCUUUUGAUGUGGUUACCUGGU
rnacentral:misc_RNA from 1 species